rnacentral:rRNA from 2 species
UCUGACAGUCCCUUAACGGGAUCGUCCUUCGGGCAGAGGUGACAGGUGGUGCAUGGUUGUCGUCAGGCUCGUGUCGUGAGAUGUUCGGGUUAAGUCCCGCAACGAGCGCAACCCUUGUCUUUAGUUGCCAUCAUUUAGUUGGGCACUCUAGGAGAGACUGCCGAGGAUAACUCGGAGGAAGGUGGGGAUGACGUCAAAUCAUCAUGCCCCUUAUGUUCUGGGCUACACACGUGCUACAAUGGCCGGUACAAAGAGACGCAAGACCGCGAGGUGGAGCAAAUCUCAAAAACCAGUCCCAGUUCGGAUUGUAGGCUGCAACUCGCCUACAUGAAGUUGGAGUUGCUAGUAAUCGUGGAUCAGAAUGCCACGGUGAAUGCGGUUCCCGGGUCUU